rnacentral:rRNA from 1 species
CCGGCACGGGUGGAGUAACGCGUAUGCAACUUGCCUAUCAGAGGGGGAGGAACCGGCGAAAGUCGGACUAAUACCGCAUGAAGCAGGGAUCCCGCAUGGAAUAUUUGCUAAAGAUUCAUCGCUGAUAGAUAGGCAUGCGUUCCAUUAGGCAGUUGGCGGGGUAACGGCCCACCAAACCGACGAUGGAUAGGGGUUCUGAGAGGAAGGUCCCCCACAUUGGUACUGAGACACGGACCAA